rnacentral:pre_miRNA from 1 species
GUGCUACUCCCUUCGUUCCGAAUUACUUGUCGCAGGUAUGGAUAUAUCUACAUGUAUUUUAGUUCUAGAUACAUUCAUUUCUGUGACGAGUAAUUUGGAACGGAGGGAGUAGGUA